rnacentral:ncRNA from 2 species
UUUAAUAAUUUGAGUGUCGGUUGCUUAAGAGAUUAAGCACUAAGAGGGAAUCUGGGUGAAAAUCCCCAACAGUCCUGCUGCCGUGAUGACGGAGAAGGUCUCGGAAGGUUUACAGCAAAAAUAUUUAAACCUGAGAACCACUGAGCAAUAUAGCUUGGGAAGGUGAGAGCCAACAAUGAUGUCUAAGUCGGAAGACCUGCCGGUAUUGUCUGCAUACG